GAUGAACGCUGGCGGCGUGCCUAAUACAUGCAAGUCGAGCGAACAGACGAGGAGCUUGCUCCUCUGACGUUAGCGGCGGACGGGUGAGUAACACGUGGAUAACCUACCUAUAAGACUGGGAUAACUUCGGGAAACCGGAGCUAAUACCGGAUAAUAUAUUGAACCGCAUGGUUCAAUAGUGAAAGACGGUUUUGCUGUCACUUAUAGAUGGAUCCGCGCCGCAUUAGCUAGUUGGUAAGGUAACGGCUUACCAAGGCAACGAUGCGUAGCCGACCUGAGAGGGUGAUCGGCCACACUGGAACUGAGACACGGGCCAGACUCCUACGGGAGGCAGCAGUAGGGAAUCUUCCGCAAUGGGCGAAAGCCUGACGGAGCAACGCCGCGGGAGUGAUGAAGGUCUUCGGAUCGUAAAACUCUGUUAUUAGGGAAGAACAAAUGUGUAAGUAACGAUGCACGUCUUGACGGUACCUAAUCAGAAAGCCACGGCUAACUACGU
rnacentral:rRNA from 1 species